rnacentral:lncRNA from 1 species
UUGUUAUGAGGUAAAAAGUGGUAAUUUAUUACUAAGUCCAGCUAUUAUGCUACCAAUAACACUAAAUACUUAGUUCUACCAAAUUUUUUGCCGUUAGAUCCGCUUCUUUGACUAUUUCCAUCCGUUGGAUCAUAUAUAUAUUCAACUAACCACCUAUUCCACCUUGAGGGACCAUUAUCAUCAUAACUGUACAUUCCUUAAUUUAAGGGCGGAAAACAUAAUAGCACAAAUGGCUUGGUGCUAUAAAUAGUAUAGUAGCCUAGUUCAAUAUUACUUAUAUAAACUUUCAUCUCUUAUUAAUUAUAUUUGGUAUGUCCAAUGAACUUUUUAAAAAA